rfam:Halanaerobium praevalens DSM 2228, complete genome.
AUUUAAAUACUAAGUCCAUUAGAACAAGGAUUGAAAC